CCCGUCCCUUCUCCCACGUCCUCUUUGGUUUAGUUGAAUCUGAAAAAUAUUUGAAUAGUCAUGAAUCAAGAAGGGUGCUCAAGCAAAAA